GAGGGCAUAGCUCAGUGGUAAAGCGCGUGCUUAGCACGCAGGAGGUCCUGGGUUCAAUCCCCAGUGCCUCCA
rnacentral:tRNA from 1 species